rnacentral:rRNA from 1 species
CCUACGGGUGGCAGCAGUGGGGAAUAUUGGGCAAUGGGCGCAACCCUGACCCAGCAACGCCGCGUGAAGGAAGAAGGCUUUCGGGUUGUAAACUUCUUUUCUCAGGGACGAAGCAAGUGACGGUAACUGAGUAAUAAGCCACGGCUAACUACGUGCCAGCCGCCGCGGUAAUACGUAGGUGGCAAGCGUUAUCCGGAAGUACUGGGAGUAAAGGGCGUGUAGGCGGGACUGCAAGUCAGAUGUGAAAACCACGGGCUCAACCUGUGGCCUGCAUUUGAAACUGUAGUUCUUGAGUACUGGAGAGGCAGAUGGAAUUCCUAGUGUAGCGGUGAAAUGCGUAGAGAUGAGGAGGAAUAC